AAAAAAACCAAAAUCCUUUCAAAAAACUCUCAGCCUCUUGUUCUUCGGCCAGGGCCAGGUCAUCGGCCACAGCGCCGGCCGCCGAUCUCCGGCGUCGACACCGCCGUCUGCGAUGGCCGAAAAAGGAGAAAAUCUCCUAUUCAAACCUUUCGAAGCCUCUAAGCCCAUAUCUAGGUUUAAAUUUUCCAAAAACCGACAAAAGCACCCUCAAAAAACCUAGAAAUCUUUCGGCUUCUAACCGUCUGUCCUCGGAGACGAACAUCGACCAUCCCAAUUGCGUUCUGGAGGUAAGCGAAAGUAAGUUCUUUCCUUUUUGUUUUAUUGUAUUUUAGCAAAGUAAAAAAUAAAAGAAAAUAUAGAAGAGGACAAUGCUAAAAUAUCAACCUUUUGAUUUCUUGAUAGAUUUUUGUACUCUUUGAUAUUCUGUUUGCUGUGAAAAUAAUAACUUUUUGUUUGUAUUGAUUUUCGAAAAUCCCCCUUUCUACAAUAUAUUGGUGGCUUUUUUAUAGCCGAAUCAAAAAAUAAAAAGUAAAGAAACACAUCUGUUUGAUUCGAUUUACAAAAUCUUUGAUUUUCUAAUUUUGCUUUCUUGUAGGUGAAGAUCGUGCUGGGCUUGUGGCUGCGGCACUGUUGAAACCCUAGGGUUUCUGACUGUCAUCCGGGGGUUAAUUUGGGCCCCUGUUUGGCUUGGGAUUUUGGGCCUAGUUAAUCUUGGGCCUCUGUUUAGUUUGGUUUGGGCCCUUAUAGGCCUGUUUGUAGUUUGGGUCUUUUAGACCCGGGUAAAAUCUUGCAUGUACAACCUACAUAUAAAAUUAUUUCCUAAUAAUAUAUCUCCCUGCAUGUUAAGAAAACAUACUAUUUUAGAAAUCACAAAUCUAACGUUGUUUAUGUAGAUUGGUAUAUUUUUAGCUUUAUGCUUAAUAAUAGUUUUUUUACCAUCUAUUCCCAUUAUUUUUAUGGCUUUUUUCAUUAAUUCCCAUUUUUCUACAGGAAUUGCGUUUCUCCUGCAACUACUGAUUGUAGCUCCAGUGUCUAUCAUAGCAUUCAGAGAAUAUCUUUUAUAUUUUCUAAACUGGAAUGUAAGUUUAAUAUUUAUUCCAACUCUUGAAUUUUUAUCAAUUGUUGAAGCUUGAAUCUCUUUCAUUCUAGUUUUUCUAGAAUUAUUACUGGGUUCAGUAGGAAAUAUAGGAAUUUGAACAGUUUUAAUUCCUAUUGGUAAGCUUAGUACAAAUUACAACCAUAGACACAGUCAUUAUAGACCAAGCAAACAUUGGCUUUUAGCCACAAACAAUGGUUCCCAACAACCAAGAUCCUGAAAUAUUAGCGGUCAAACCUCUAAAAGCAGAAAAAGAGAAGGAAGCAUCACCAUUCACAUUGGCGACAGCCACUAAUAAUAACAUUAGUGUGUAUGAUCCCCAUUACCGAGCGUCUUCGUUUUCACUGAGGAUCUUGCUUACAAAGAAAGAGAGAAAUAAUGAAGCACAAGACAGAGCUGAGCGUCCUAAAUCACCCAUCGGAAGACACCUUAAGAGAGCAGAGGCUCGAAGACACCCCAAACCGACACCUUAAGAGAGCAGAGGCUCGAAUACACCCCAAACCGACUGAAAUCAGCCAUUGGCGACACCUAACCCAGAACAACACACAAACAGUGACUGAAUCGUCGAGGAUCUUGGAUCUGGCAAAAAUAGAUAAAUAAGGAAAACAACAUCUUGAGGCUUUUGGCAUUGCCACAAAUCCACCAAUUGGGAGUUGCAGCAAAACUCUCACCAAAAGUGGAACACCGACAUCAAAACACCACACUGGUCCCUCCUUAACAUAGGUCCGCUCGAGAGAAGAGAAAAAAGCCACGAACGCUCAGAUAAAUCCCCUGAAAAGGAUUAUUAAACCGAGAGGAUGGAAAAAAAAGGAGAACAAGGAGAAGGACGAUCAACCAUCGAUGACAGGUGUUUGACCGUCUAAAACGAGAAACUGAAAGAAAGCGUUGGAGCGACGCUUAGGGUUUCUUGUCAAAUUUUCAGUUCACAAACCUAAAAUGUCAAUUACC
rnacentral:lncRNA from 1 species